rnacentral:rRNA from 1 species
UACGUAGGGUGCGAGCGUUAAUCGGAAUUACUGGGCGUAAAGCGUGCGCAGGCGGUUCGUUAAGACAGAUGUGAAAUCCCCGGGCUUAACCUGGGAACUGCAUUUGUGACUGCAUCGCUGGAGUGCGGCAGAGGGGGAUGGAAUUCCGCGUGUAGCAGUGAAAUGCGUAGAUAUGCGGAGGAACACCGAUGGCGAAGGCAAUCCCCUGGGCCUGCACUGACGCUCAUGCACGAAAGCGUGGGGAGCAAACAGG